rnacentral:sRNA from 1 species
GCUGGGUGCAGUGGUGUACACCUGUAAUCCCAGCAGCUAGGGAGGCUGAAACAGGAAGAUCACGAAUUCGAAGCCAGCCUCAGCAACAGAUCUAAAAGGGGUUUUUGAAGAAUAUCAUUGCGCUAAGCAACUCAGUGAGACCCUGUCUCUA